rnacentral:rRNA from 1 species
UAGGGAAUCUUCGGCAAUGGGGGGAACCCUGUCCGAGCAACGCCGCGUGAGUGAAGAAGGUUUUCGGAUCGUAAAGCUCUGUUGUUAAGGAAGAACGAGUGUGAGAAUGGAAAGUUCAUACUGUGACGGUACUUAACCAGAAAGGGACGGCUAACUACGUGCCAGCAGCCGCGGUAAUACGUAGGUCCCGAGCGUUGUCCGGAUUUAUUGGGCGUAAAGCGAGCGCAGGCGGUUAGAAAAGUCUGAAGUGAAAGGCAGUGGCUCAACCAUUGUAGGCUUUGGAAACUGUUUAACUUGAGUGCAGAAGGGGAGAGUGGAAUUCCAUGUGUAGCGGUGAAAUGCGUAGAUAUAUGGAGGAACACCGGUGGCGAAAGCGGCUCUCUGGUCUGUAACUGACGCUGAGGCUCGAAAGCGUGGGGAGCGAACAGG